rnacentral:rRNA from 1 species
CGAGUGGCGAACGGUGAGUAAUGUAUCGGAACGUACCUUUCAGUGGGGGAUAACGUAGCGAAAGUUACGCUAAUACCGCAUAUUCUGUGAGCAGGAAAGCAGGGGAUCGCAAGACCUUGCGCUGAUUGAGCGGCCGAUAUCAGAUUAGCUAGUUGGUGAGGUAAAGGCUCACCAAGGCGACGAUCUGUAGCGGGUCUGAGAGGAUGAUCCGCCACACUGGAACUGAGACACGGUCCAGACUCCUACGGGAGGCAGCAGUGGGGAAUUUUGGACAAUGGGCGCAAGCCUGAUCCAGCCAUGCCGCGUGAGUGAAGAAGGCCUUCGGGUUGUAAAGCUCUUUCAGCCGGGGAGAAAACGCAUGGGUUAAUACCCUGUGUGGAUGACGGUACCGGAAUAAGAAGCACCGGCUAACUACGUGCCAGCAGCCGCGGUAAUACGUAGGGUGCGAGCGUUAAUCGGAAUUACUGGGCGUAAAGCGUGCGCAGGCGGU